CUCACUGGAGAGACAACAAGACCCACCAGAGCAGGUGGCCAACUGCAUGCCCAGAGGAAACAUUGAGAAGACAGCUGGAGAAGUGGCUGUACCCAUAAGAAGGGAAGUGUAUCUGGCAGUUCCCAGCAGUGGGUUCUCUCAGAAGCUCCCAAUCCAUUCCAGCCAGAGACUACCCACCUAGAGGAAGUAGAGACAAAAUAGAGGUUGAAGAAUUAGAGAAGAAGCUGAUCAUGUACCCUUUUCCCAGGCAGGCUUCCAGUAGGAGGGAGGGUUUUUAUUUAAAACAAGUUUGAAGUA